rnacentral:rRNA from 1 species
UGGGGAAUAUUGGACAAUGGGCGGAAGCCUGAUCCAGCCAUGCCGCGUGUGUGAAGAAGGCCUUUUGGUUGUAAAGCACUUUAAGCGCGGAGGAGGCUACUUGGAUUAAUACUCUAGGAUAGUGGACGUUACUCGCAGAAUAAGCACCGGCUAACUCUGUGCCAGCAGCCGCGGUAAUACAGAGGGUGCGAGCGUUAAUCGGAUUUACUGGGCGUAAAGCGUGCGUAGGCGGCUUCUUAAGUCGGAUGUGAAAUCCCUGAGCUUAACUUAGGAAUUGCAUUCGAUACUGGGAAGCUAGAGUAUGGGAGAGGAUGGUAGAAUUCCAGGUGUAGCGGUGAAAUGCGUAGAGAUCUGGAGGAAUACCGAUGGCGAAGGCAGCCAUCUGGCCUAAUACUGACGCUGAGGUACGAAAGCAUGGGGAGCAAACAGG